rnacentral:rRNA from 1 species
UACGGAGGGUGCGAACGUUAAUCGGAAUCACUGGGCGUAAAGCGCGCGUAGGCGGUCUGUUAAGUGGGAUGUGAAAUCCCCGGGCUUAACCUGGGAAUUGCAUUUCAAACUGGCCGACUAGAGUACGGUAGAGGGAGGUAGAAUUUCCUGCGUAGCGGUGAAAUGCGUAGAUAUAGGAAGGAAUACCAGUGGCGAAGGCGGCCUCCUGGAUCGAUACUGACGCUGAGGCGCGAAAGCGUGGGGAGCAAACAGG